UGGGGAAUAUUGGACAAUGGGCGCAAGCCUGAUCCAGCAAUGCCGCGUGUGUGAAGAAGGCCUUCGGGUUGUAAAGCACUUUUAUCAGGAGCGAAACGCUGUCGGCUAAUACCCGGCGGAACUGACGGUACCUGAGGAAUAAGCACCGGCUAACUUCGUGCCAGCAGCCGCGGUAAUACGAAGGGUGCAAGCGUUAAUCGGAAUUACUGGGCGUAAAGCGUGCGUAGGCGGUUUCUUAAGUCUGCUGUGAAAUCCCCGGGCUCAACCUGGGAAUGGCAGUGGAUACUGGGAGGCUAGAGUGUGUCAGAGGGUGGUGGAAUUCCCGGUGUAGCGGUGAAAUGCGUAGAGAUCGGGAGGAACAUCAGUGGCGAAGGCGGCCACCUGGGACAACACUGACGCUGAGGCACGAAAGCGUGGGGAGCAAACAGGAUUAGAUACCCUGGUAGUCCACGCCCUAAACGAUGCGAACUGGGUGUGGUCUCAACUCGGAGAUCAGUGUCGAAGCUAACGCGUUAAGUUCGCCGCCUGGGGAGUACGGUCGCAAGACU
rnacentral:rRNA from 1 species